rnacentral:lncRNA from 1 species
AUCCCCUAUGUCGCACGCGAGGCUCUGGUGCUACUGGGCGGCAGCGGCCCUGGUGGUACUCGACGGCGGCGGCCCCGGUGAGUCCCUCUCUCCCGCUCCCUUCCUCUCUCCCGUUCCAUCCCUCUCUCCCGCUCAUCUCCCCUGCGGCGGCGGCCCUAACCAGCAGGCGGAGCGAUGGCGGAAGGAGAGACUGCAGUACUAGGGGCAGCGGCAACAGGCCAAGAAGGGCUAGCGAGGAGCAACAAGGGCCGACAGGGAGUAGCAAGAAGGUUCAGGAGAGGAGUGCAGCAAGAGUUCAUCCCUUCCCCUGUGUAAUGUUUGGUCAAAUAGGUUCAUUUAUGUUGUCUAUUAUUUUUAAAGUUUGUUUUUGUGUUGAAAAGUGGCAAAAGAUCAAAGUCCAAAAUAAAGAGUGUCAUAAAAUCAAUUUUUACCGCCGGCUUU